AAUCAACGCUGGCGGCGUGCCUCAGACAUGCAAGUCGAACGCGAAAGUCCCCUUCGGGGGACAAGUAGAGUGGCGCACGGGUGAGUAACACGUAGGUAAUCUACCUUCGGAUGGGGAAUAACAACCGGAAACGGUUGCUAAUACCGCAUAAUGCAGCGGCACCUAAUGGUGACAGUUGUUAAAGCGGGGGAUCGUAAGACCUCGCGUCUGAAGAGGAGCCUGCGGCGGAUUAGCUAGNGGUAGGGUAACGGCCUACCAAGGCGACGAUCCGUAGCCGGCCUGAGAGGGCGGUCGGCCACACUGACACUGACAUACGGGUCAGACUCCUACGGGAGGCAGCAGUCGGGAAUUUUGGGCAAUGGGCGAAAGCCUGACCCAGCAACGCCGCGUGAAGGAUGAAAUCCCUCGGGAUGUAAACUUCGCAAGAACGGGAAGAAUAAGCGAGAGUAAAUACCUUUCGCGAUGACGGUACCG
rnacentral:rRNA from 1 species